AGGUCAGUCCUCUGGCUUUGGACAACAUGGAUCUGGCUCAGGUCAGUCCUCUGGCUUUGGACAACAUGGAUCUGGCUCAGGUCAGUCCUCUGGCUUUGGACAACAUGGAUCUGGCUCAGGUCAGUCCUCUGGCUUUGGGCAACAUGGGUCAAGUUCAAGUCAGUCCUCUGGCUUUGGACAACAUGGGUCAGGCUCAGGUCAGUCCUCUGGCUUUGGACAACAUGGGUCUGGCUCAGGCCAGUCCUCUGGCUUUGGACAACAUGGAUCUGGCUCAGGUCAGUCCUCUGGCUUUGGACAACAUGGAUCUGGCUCAGGUCAGUCCUCUGGCUUUGGAC